UACGUAGGGUGCGAGCGUUGUCCGGAAUUAUUGGGCGUAAAGAGCUCGUAGGCGGCUCGUUGCGUCGGCUGUGAAAGUCCGGGGCUCAACCCUGGGAUGCCGGUGGAUACUGUCGAGCUCGAGUCCGGAAGAGGCGAGUGGAAUUCCUGGUGUAGCGGUGAAAUGCGCAGAUAUCAGGAGGAACACCAAUGGCGAAGGCAGCUCGCUGGGACGUGACUGACGCUGAGACGCGAAAGCGUGGGGAGCAAACAGG
rnacentral:rRNA from 1 species